GAUGAACGCUAGCUACAGGCUUAACACAUGCAAGUCGAGGGACCGGCGCACGGGUGAGUAACACGUAUCCAACCUGCCCUUUACUCGGGGAUAGCCUUUCGAAAGAAAGAUUAAUACCCGAUAUAAAGGAUGGGGAUGCGUUCCAUUAGGUUGUUGGUGAGGUAACGGCUCACCUAGACUUCGAUGGAUAGGGGUUCUGAGAGGAAGGGCCCCCACAUUGGAACUGAGACACUGUCCAAACUCCUACGUGAGGCAGCAGUGAGGAAUAUUGUUCAAUGGGCGGUAGCCUGAACCAGCCAAGUAUCGUGAAGGAUUAAUGUUUAUGGGUCGUAAACUUCUUGUAUAGAAGAAUAUGUAUUAUAUGAAUAAGGAUCGGCUAACUCCGUGCCAGCCGCCGCGGUAAUUC
rnacentral:rRNA from 1 species